rnacentral:rRNA from 1 species
UACGUAGGAUCCAAGCGUUAUCCGGAAUUACUGGGCGUAAAGAGUUGCGUAGGUGGCAUUGUAAGCAAGACAUGAAAUCGUGUGGCUCAACCAUACGGCUAUGUCUUGAACUGCAAAGCUAGAGAGCGAGAGGGGUAGAUGGAAUUACUAGUGUAGGAGUGAAAUCCGUAGAUAUUAGUAGGAACACCGAUAGCGUAGGCAGUCUACUGGCUCGUUUCUGACACUGAGGCACGAAAGCGUGGGGAGCAAA